UACGUAGGGGGCAAGCGUUGUCCGGAUUUAUUGGGCGUAAAGAGCUCGUAGGCGGUUUGUCGCGUCUGCCGUGAAAGUCCGGGGCUCAACUCCGGAUCUGCGGUGGGUACGGGCAGACUAGAGUGAUGUAGGGGAGACUGGAAUUCCUGGUGUAGCGGUGAAAUGCGCAGAUAUCAGGAGGAACACCGAUGGCGAAGGCAGGUCUCUGGGCAUUAACUGACGCUGAGGAGCGAAAGCAUGGGGAGCGAACAGG
rnacentral:rRNA from 1 species